UGCUACUAAAGAUGGAGCCAGGUGAUGACUGGGAGAACCAAUUGCCUCAAGUCGUGUUCGCGUACAACACCUCAAAGCACGCCUCAACGGGAUUUUCUCCCUUUUUCCUCAUGUAUGGCAGGGAACCCAUUCUUCCUGAAGAUGUGGAUGAACCUGAGGGAAACGCCGAAGCAGACGAACCCCGACCAAGUGGGAGUGAACAACAUGCAGAGGAUAUCCCCGUUGGAACUAAGGUCCUGAAGAAAAAUUUGGUACGAUCGGAUCGAAAAGGGGGAAAAUCUGCGUUACCUUGGCUGGGCCCGUAUGUCAUA